rnacentral:rRNA from 1 species
CGAAGUGGCAUCACUUUGUUGUUAUAGUUUCGGCGCUUAAUGAUGGGUGUGCGUAUGAUUAGAUAGUUGGCGAGGUAACGGCUCACCAAGUCUACGAUCAUUAGCUGAUGUGAGAGCAUGAUCAGCCACACGGGCACUGAGACACGGGCCCGACUCCUACGGGAGGCAGCAGUAAGGAAUAUUGGUCAAUGGACGCAAGUCUGAACCAGCCAUGCCGCGUGAAGGAUUAAGGUCCUCUGGAUUGUAAACUUCUUUUAUAUGGGACGAAAAAAGGUCUUUCUAGACCCCUUGACGGUACCAUAUGAAUAAGCACCGGCUAACUCCGUGCCAGCAGCCGCGGUAAUACGGAGGGUGCAAGCGUUAUCCGGAUUCACUGGGUUUAAAGGGUGCGUAGGCGGGUAGGUAAGUCAGUGGUGAAAUCCUGGAGCUCAACUCCAAAACUGCCAUUGAUACUAUCUAUCUUGAAUAUUGUGGAGGUAAGCGGAAUAUGUCAUGUAGCGGGUGAAAUGCUUAGAUAUGACAUAGAACACCC